GUACACAAAUGGGAUUGAUGCAACUUUUCAAGAUCUUCACGGACGUUAAUUCCAUGAAUAACUGCAGGCCCAUAGUUUUUUGUUCAUAUUCAGUUAGUUCGUGACUACCAGAUUAGCUUAAGUUGCCAGNNNNNNNNNNGUCAGUGUGAGAAGCGUUACUUCUCCUUUGUUCUUUUAUUAUUAUUUUUUUCAUUGCCCCUCUUUGUUUGUAUCUAAUAUUGUUGAGAAGAGACAAGGAGUUGAAAAUUAAGUUUCAUGUUUCUUUUCCUAUGUUUAUCCUUCGAUUUGGGAACAGAAAACUCAUGGUGCCAGUAGGGGU
rnacentral:misc_RNA from 1 species